rnacentral:tRNA from 1 species
GGAGAGAUGGCAGAGUGGUCGAUUGCGUCCGCCUCGAAAGCGGAUAACCCGCAAGGGUUCAGAGGUUCGAAUCCUCUUCUCUCCGCCA